CUCUUUCUGGAGAUCCCUCCUUUUAGAGUUUUCUACUGAGAGCCUAGAAUAUGGGGAAUACUGGAGUCUGAAGGAGUUGCUGGAGUUUUGUACGCACAGGUCGCUUAGCUCCUAGAAACCUUGAAUUACCGUGGCCUGGUUGAGAGUGUGGGUAGAUGCUGAAAUCGGUGCACUGCCUGACAGCCCAGCAUUAGCAUCUGUGAAUCCAUUGGGAAUGAGGCUUCAUGCAGCAAAAAUCCAGAAUCACUAAGCUGGCUGCAUGUACAACUUUAGAUUCAAUCAAAGGGUAGUCAGCCGUGGCUCCACGUGACUCAGGUUUCAGGGAGAGGCUCUCCCUUGGGCAUGGCACAAGCUCACUGAAGUCCCAGUAUCUCUGGCCAAGUCGUGGAUAGACUUGUCUCUUCCUGCUCAAGGCAAUGGAGUACUAUGUGCUGAGGUACUUCCGAGAGACAUUCUGACCCACUGCUGCUUGGCUGCAGGUGUUCUGGCAUUUGGACAAAGGCAGUUGUUCUGCUUCAGAAACAAGUUCACAUCUUAAUACUCACAAUGGACCAUAUUCCCCAUAGGAAUCCACUGAAUAUUGUGCCUUCAGGAGGGAUUAACACUCACUAAUCCUCCAUUCAGGACAAAAAAAAAAAAGUCUUAGGUGUUUGCCAAGGACCUAUAAGCCAGUUUCUUUUCCUUUUUUUUUUCCCCUCAUCUUUUUUAAAUAAAUAAAUCCUCCCCAAAAUUAUGAAAGCAGAUCCAAGCAAUCGCAGUGACUCAGCUGUAGAGCUACAAGCAGUUCACGUUGCAGAUUAAAUCUGUGGUAGGUAAUAUCAUUUUGCUGCGCAGUGAAAAUGAAAAAUGACUCCUUCCGUAUUUGCUGUGUGCAAAGUGCCAUAUGCAAAGUUUUAUACCAAGCCAGAGCAGUUUCUAGAAGAGGAAAGAGAGGAAGUGACAUCUUCAGAUAGUUUAAGAGACCAUUCCCACCUAUGCCUUGCUUUAACAGUGGAGUGCUCUGGGCUGGGUGUAUCAGCAGAGAGAAAAAAGAAGAUAUUCCCAAAAUAAGUAAAUUACAGGACAUUCGUUCACAGCUGGAUGUUGCAGGGACUGGGAUUUUAUUUCUUAUCUAAACUGCGAUAUUUUUUGACUGGAAAUAAAACCAACAUAAUUUUUUUUUUUAACUGAACCUCAAGCGGAGUGACCAAAACUGCAGCUGCUGCUCCUGUGCAGUAAAGUAUUGAAGAGUUAACAAAAGGUUUAAACUGAUUAAGUGCUAGCACAGAGUACUGAAUUCCAAAUACCAGUAUGUUAAUUAAAAUAUUACGUUUACCGUUAUUGCUUGCAAGUUUGAUUGCUUUUGUAAUUGAAUCUAGUGAUAUUUCUUCUUUGGUUAUGGGACAAAAUAGAUUGGAGAGUCUAGUCUGCUCUGUAUCUCUGUUUUAUGUACCUUACUGCUCUCCUUAUAAGUCAUCUGUCCCAGCAGUACGUAAAUGGUAUCACUUUGUUGUCCAGAUUCUGACUUUUUCCCGGGGAUACAAAGCAAUGUCUGCGUGAAUUCCUGGUUCAUUUUGAAAUCAAAGGCAGAAUUGACAGCAGGAAAGCUGGAGCUCCUUCAUAGCCUCAAAGCUUCUCCCUGCUACCCAGCUGUUGCUUUGUUUGCCCCCUCUUUUAACAUGCCCUCUUUUUACUGUGUUCUUUUGGGAUGAGGUCAAGAGUCAACUUUAUCCACACUGGAAGUACCAUCUGCCGAUUUUCCUG
ensembl:lncRNA